GAUGAACGCUGGCGGCGUGCUUAACACAUGCAAGUCGAACGGGGUGCCUUUGAUUGAGACUUCGGUUGAUUGAUUAGGUUACCUAGUGGCGGACUGGUGCGUAACACGUGAGUAACCUGCCUCGGAGUGUGGAAUAACACAGCGAAAGUUGUGCUAAUACCGCAUAAUGUAGUUGUACCGCAUGGUGCUGACUACCAAAGAUUUAUUGCUCUGAGAUGGACUCGCGGCCGAUUAGCUAGUUGGUGAGGUAACGGCUCACCAAGGCGACGAUCAGUAGCCGGUCUGAGAGGAUGAACGGCCACAUUGGGACUGAGAUACGGCCCAGACUCCUACGGGAGGCAGCAGUGGGGAAUAUUGGGCAAUGGGGGAAACCCUGACCCAGCAACGCCGCGUGAAGGAAGAAGGCCUUCGGGUUGUAAACUUCUUUUACCAGGGACGAAGAACGUGACGGUACCUGGAGAAAAGCAACGGCUAACUACGUG
rnacentral:rRNA from 1 species